CCUUCGUUAGCUCAGUUGGUAGAGCGGUGGACUGUAGAUCCAUAGGUCGCUGGUUCAAAUCCGGCUCGAAGGA
rnacentral:tRNA from 1 species